CUAGUGUGUCUUUUCAGAGAGCCAGAGACAAAAUCUGCCCCAGUCAUGGUUAUCAAGAUGCAGACUUAAGUCCUGUAACUGGAAGACACUACCCAGGUCAGCGGGAUCCCAGAUCUCUGACACCUCAGAAGUGGAAGGAAUCAAAGGAAAAAGGAAAAGAGAAAAAGGAAAAGGAGAGGACCUCUAAAAUAUUUUAUGCUUAUUCCUAAGAAGAAUAUUAGAAAUAAGCAUUAAAAAUUGACAUCAUUAUACUCAUGUUUAAUGUGGCACUACACCAUUCACAAUAAUCAAGAUAUGGAACCAAUUUAGGUGCCUAUCAACAGGUCAAGUGGGAACACAUAGAUUCCCUACCGAGGAAAAUAAACUGCGAUGUAUUUUUAGCAUCUGUUGAAAGUACUUUCAGCUGAAGAUAUUCUACAGGAGCCAGUUUAUUUCACUGAAGUUGGAAGGAUUUACCAUCAUGUCACCUAGAAUUCUGGAAAUUUCCUUGGGGCUAUGUAAUUAUGUGCCCACUCCAACCCCUCACUGCCCCCCAUUCUCAGUCCCAGUCUUGGAGUGAACAUUCUCUGAGGGAAAAAAGGAAAAUAAGCCCAGUAAAAGAAAAAUGGAAAACAUCUGUGAAAUAGUUUUGAGAAAUGAAGCUAACUAUAGCACACUUGGCACUUAGAAAUGAAGCACAUCCAGGAGGAGGGAUUUGGGAGAAUAGGCUGCAGAGAGGGUGACCCCACUCCAUGUUGUGCUGAAGGUGAGCUAUGGAUGGGCUGGGGCCUUGUGAAAGGUACCCCUGUGGUGUCUCUGUGCAAAGUAGAGCAAGGUCUCCCUCUCUACAGACCUAGCCACACUCCAUGGUGCUGUGAGAGAAGCCCAGGUGGUGUUAGCUUCUACCCAAUCCCUCCAAGCGGGGUGUGCACAGCAUACAAGUCCUGCAGCCCUGAUAGGGAAGUUUUAGGUUUGAUUAGCAAAUGGUUUAAGACUUUCCUUCUGUUUGAACAGCUUCAAAAAAGUAUUUCCCCUUUUAAAAAAUAAAUUCAUUUAACUCCUAGCUUUUAAAUAAAUGUUUUAAUUUUUAUGAGCAUAAAGUUGUGUCAGUAAGUUUCUGUUACUGUGACAAAUACCUGAGAUAAUUGGCUUAAAAAGAAAAGAUGUUUAUUUUGGCUCACAGUUUUGAGGAAUUCAGUCCAUUCCUGAUUGACUCCUUUGCUUUGGUCUGGUAGUAGCGCAUCAUGGCAAAAACAUGUGGCAGAACACACUGUUUACCUCAUGGCCAAGAAAUGAAAGAGAACAGGAAAAGGAGACCAGGGUCCAAAUGUCACUUUCAAGAAAGCACCCCCAACCACCUAAGACCUCCCACUAAGCCCCACUUCUUAAAGGUACCACCUCCCAAUAACAUCAAGCUGAAGACUAAGCCUUUAACAUACAGACCUUUGGGAGACAUCUCAGAUACGAAGUAUACCAAAGAUAUAAUAAUAACUAUGCUAAAAGUAAAUAUAAAUUAAAAACUAUACUAAAUAUACUAACUAUAUUUUUGAGACAAGGUCUCACUAUAUAAUUCAGGCUGGCAUCAAACUCACUAUAUAGCCCAGACUGUACUCAAACUCUCAAACUAACAGUGGUCUUCUUGCUUCAGCCUCCUUAGUGCUGGGAUUAUAGUCAUGAGUCACCA
ensembl:lncRNA